rnacentral:rRNA from 1 species
CCUACGGGGGGCAGCAGUGAGGAAUAUUGGUCAAUGGGCGCGAGCCUGAACCAGCCAAGUAGCGUGAAGGAUGACUGCCCUACGGGUUGUAAACUUCUUUUAUAAAGGAAUAAAGUGAGGCACGUGUGCCUUUUUGUAUGUACUUUAUGAAUAAGGAUCGGCUAACUCCGUGCCAGCAGCCGCGGUAAUACGGAGGAUCCGAGCGUUAUCCGGAUUUAUUGGGUUUAAGGGGAGCGUAGAUGGGUUGUUAAGUCAGCUGUGAAAUGUCCGGGCUCAACCCGGGCCUUGCAGCGCGAACUGGCGGGCUUGAGUCCGCGGAAAGCAGGCGGAAUUCGUCGUGUAGCGGUGAAAUGCUUAGAUAUGACGAAGAACCCCGAUUGCGAAGGCAGCUUGCUGCAGCGGAACUGACGCUGAUGCUCGAAAGCGCGGGUAUCGAACAGGAUUAGAUACCCCGGUAGUC